UAAUAAGGUUGAACGGCUAAAGGCGCGCCGUCCUGGCGGCAGACUCAAAGCACGACGUCCUGUCGUUUCGCCUGCACUAGUACGUCCUGUACGUCGCAACGCCGUUCUGACCAACAUCCUGUUGG
rnacentral:sRNA from 1 species